rnacentral:rRNA from 1 species
UUCGGCCUCGUUAUACGGUUAAAGCCUUCGGGCGGUACAAGAUGGCCAUGCGUCCCAUUAGCUGGAUGGUAAGGUAACGGCUUACCAUGGCUACGAUGGGUAGGGGCCCUGAGAGGGGGAUCCCCCACACUGGUACUGAGACACGGACCAGACUCCUACGGGAGGCAGCAGUGAGGAAUAUUGGACAAUGGAGGAGACUCUGAUCCAGCCAUGCCGCGUGCAGGAAGAAUGCCCUAUGGGUAGUAAACUGCUUUUAUACGGGAAGAAAAAGAGCUACGUGUAGCUUACUGACGGUACCGUAAGAAUAAGGACCGGCUAACUCCGUGCCAGCAGCCGCGGUAAUACGGAGGGUCCGAGCGUUAUCCGGAAUUAUUGGGUUUAAAGGGUCCGUAGGCGGGCCGAUAAGUCAGGGGUGAAAGUCUGCCGCUCAACGGUAGAACUGCCUUUGAUACUGUCGGUCUUGAGUUAUAGUGAAGUUGCCGGAAUAUGUAGUGUAGCGGUGAAAUGCAUAGAUAUUACAUAGAACACCGAUUGCGAAGGCAGGUGACUAACUAUAUACUGACGCUGAUGGACGAAAGCGUGGGGAGCGAACAGGAUUAGAUACCCUGGUAGUCCACGCCGUAAACGAUGGAUACUAGCUGUCCGGAGCCUUGAGUUCUGGGCGGCCAAGCGAAAGUGAUAAGUAUCCCACCUGGGGAGUACGUUCGCAAGAAUGAAACUCAAGG